UACGUAGGUGGCAAGCGUUGUCCGGAAUUAUUGGGCGUAAAGCGCGCGCAGGCGGUCCUUUAAGUCUGAUGUGAAAGCCCACGGCUCAACCGUGGAGGUCAUUGGAAACUGGGGGACUUGAGUACAGAAGAGAAGAGUGGAAUUCCACGUGUAGCGGUGAAAUGCGUAGAGAUGUGGAGGAACACCAGUGGCGAAGGCGACUCUUUGGUCUGUAACUGACGCUGAGGCGACGAAAGCGUGGGGAGCAAACAGG
rnacentral:rRNA from 1 species